GUACAUCAGAUGGCUCUGUCCCUCUUUCGAUUCAUUGCUGCUCUUGGAUGAACAGAAGUUGUAUCAAAGUUGCUGGGUACGUUCACCUUGCUAAUGGUUUUUCUGCUUGGAGGAUUUAUUAUUUCCAAAAAUGACCUUGAGCCAUGGAUGAUGUGGGGCUACUAUAUGUCUCCUAUGAUGUAUGGACAGAAUGCACUAGUUAUGAAUGAGUUUCUUGAUAAAAGAUGGGACACACCCAACAAUGACACCAGCAUUGAUGUGCCUACAGUUGGGU